CUUUGGGAUCCCACAAAUCCUGAAUCUCCCUGUCUCCUUCUUUAACCCACCCAAACCGGACUGGAAUUUCUAUUUUUCCCUCCUCUACUUUCCCAUAUUGAGGACCUGACUUGGGAAGAAGCAGUAUCUUUAAGUCUGAAAAAUGGAAAGCUUCCAGGUCACAAAGAAUGCGAAGGAACUCAGUCAAAGCUAAGGAUCCUAUGAUGUGUGGGAAUUUAUGGGCAAAUUCUCGAAGCUCAAAGGAGGUAGCUUACAGGCCGAUGAGGGUAUGUACUAUCUCACACUGUGGAGAGCAGGCUCUGGGGACUCUGGCACAUAAACAACAACAACAACGUAGGGUAGGGAAGGGCUGUGUGUGUAAACAAAUAAACAACCUCUGCGUACAUAUCAUUAUUUUUUCCUAGUCCCAAGGAUUCCUCAGAUGCCUCGGAGGGAGGAAUAGGAACUUCAAAGUGAUGCUCAGCUGUGCGAGGAAAUGUGAAGUCUGUUAUUCAGAGAAGUGAGAAAGAGCCUGUCUUUGGAAGCAGGACCUGGAUUUGAAUCUAAGCUCAGCCGCUUACUACCCUCUGUGGACUUAACCUCUCUGAAUUUCAAUUUUCUUAUCUGUAGCAUGGCCAUGAGAAUCCUUUUCUCCACAAACUCACAAGAUGUUGUCAGGAUUAAAUAAGAUAAUAUAUCUAGGACUUGAUAGACUGCAGUCAAUAGAUGACAAAUCUUUUUUUUUUUUUUUUUUUUUUUUGAGACAGUCUCCCUCUGUCGCCCAGGCUGAAGUGCAAUGUCACGAUCUCAGCUCAGUGCAACCUCUGCCUCCCGGGUUCAAGUGAUUCUCCUGCCUUAGUCUCCGAGUAGCUGGGAUUAUAGGCACCCACCACCACGCCCAGCUAAUUUUUUUAGUAUUUUUAGUAGAGAUGGGGUUUCACCAUGUUGGUCAGGCUGGUCUCGAACUCCUGACCUCAGGCGAUCCACCCGUUUCAGCCUCCAAAAGUGCUGGGAUUAUCACAGUGAGCCACUGUGCCUGGCUGACGGCAUAUCUUAUGAACUCAUUUUCACCUAUACCUUCCUAAGGCCUUUGUUACAAAUAAAUUAUAAAAUACGUGUAUGUUUACAUGCGAGCAUUUUCAUCUGAAGUCAUUGGUUCAUGGCCGUGCUCUAUUUAUUUAUUAUGUAUGAGGGACAUGCUGGCAGGGGUCCUUCCUGUAAUUCCAUCCCACUGCUGCCUCCAAAUGCAAUUGCAAAUCUUCCAUUCUGUCAAACCUUAUGAAAUUAUUUCCAUCAACAAAUGUCAGCUUUGGAAUUCUCCUUAUAAAAGCUCAUUUCAGGCUUCCUUGGAAUUCUUAAAUAACUAAGCAAGCAUUUGAGAUCUGAUACGCACAGGAAAGCACUGGCAUAGGAAGAGAUAAUCUGCCUUAAAUGCAUACACACUCACAAAACAGACAUUGUUCUCAGCACUUUCUUUUAAUAUUUUGGGGGCCAGGCUACCUAGUCAAAUGCUGCACAGUAGGCUUCUUCUGAAAUCAGCCUCCAGCAAGGGAUUAGCACCAAUUCUGAGAGCUGCCAUUUAUUUUGUUUACAGUCCCUGUGCAGUUUUGGAACACUGUGUUCCCUUUCUUGUAAGGGCACAACAGCAACACGGCCAUGUGGCACUGGACAGGCUCCCCACUUCAUGCUAGAGUUUCCUUUGGGCUGGCAUUUUUUGCAAACAGCUUUGGGGCCUCUAGCUAUCUGGUACAAAGGAAAAAGCAUGGGCUUUAGAGGCAUUCAAACAAACCUGGGCUCACCUUCUGCUGUCGUGUGCUAUGUGCUUACUUAAUCUGACUCUUAGUUUGUUUUUGUUUUCUUCUGCAAAAGGGAAAUAAUAAAAUUAUAGUCUUUGUAGGAGCAAUGUGAGGACUGAAUAAGACAAUGAGUGUAAAGCACCCAUGAUAGUGCCCGGCAAUGUGAAACACUCCAAUAAAUGAAGUAAUUAUUUUAAUAAUGGCAGUUAGGGAAUGUGCAAUGUGCUUUUCUUUGUUGUGAUUUCCAGUACCAAACUGCUCUGCCUUUGCUUAAAGAAUUCAAAGACACACAUAAAAAUGUUUCACUGUACAAGGUUCUGCUCAAUGAUAUGACUCUUAGCAGUAGUAACUAUCUUUUCAAAUGCUCUGGUGGCCUGGCAAAAAGGCUGUAUUAGUGACAAGUUGGUUACUCUCUGAAUUCCUGCGGCCUUUUUAACCUAUCUGGAGAAAGACAAGGCACACUUCCCUGGUUUGUUAACUGUGAAGAAGCAGAAGUGAAGAGAAGUGGACCUCGUACUGAUGAUGACAUGAACACUUACAAGAAUCCAAAACAGCUGUUGUAACUCUGCAGCUCACCCUUGGCAUGGCUAAAGAGGGGUGGGUGUGGCCAGAUUAUAUGUUGUUGAUAUGCACAGUCAUGUGCAAUGGACACUCACUUUUCAAUGAAUAUGUUUUCUACAAACUUCUUGCACACGGGAGUUACUCUAUCAAGGUGAGUGUACCAUGCUUACUGUUAGUGUCCUGAGAAGGCUUACUGCGGUGAGUCUCAUCAGUGGGGAUGAGUGGGUGGGUGUUCGCUGUGUGUGUGCCAGGCAUUUACUCUAGGAGGCUGGUGGCAAGCAUCCCACAGCAUGGUGGUGGGGCAUGCAUCAUAUGGCACGUAGGAAGGAGAGCACAGCUUAGAAUUGCAUAGGCCAGGACUCCAGUCUUAGCUCGGCUGCUCAUCAGCUACCUUGAAGGAGCUAUCUAACCUUGC
rnacentral:lncRNA from 10 species